CUACUUAUUUAUGGGUGCCUCUCAGUGUAGCACCCUUAAGCAGCCUGACUUCACGUAUCUUUGCUGUGAUCUGACAGUGUUGGAGCUUUAUCAGAACACGGAGUCAGUGGGAACCUCUAAGGCUAGUCUAAAAAGCCAAGCUAAUUAGAAAAUUCUGAGACCACCUAAGCGGUGUGACUGUUUCCUGCGUGCAAAGGAUGUGUUUUCUGAGGACGAAUGGAGAAGGCCUCCCGGCGACUCCCAGGAGGUACCAAUGAUAUACCAGUGACCAGAUACUUCCCAUAACUUUUAAUAAGGACAUUUUAUACCUGCAAGACAAGAAUGAGCCUUGGGAUGGUUUGCUAAUGCCUUAUCAAAUUGUCAUAAGCAUCCAUUAUUUACAUGCAAAUGUGUUAUCACGUCACAUAAUGGUGGGAUUAUUGCACUCUGUAACAAGAACAAAUCUGAGCUCUCACAGGUCUGCCAGCUACGAUUAUGGCCAGGGAUCACGAGGAAGCUUGGCAUCAUGGAGCCCAGAAUCAUGGCCUGGGAGUCCCAGCACCCACUGUGCCCACCUCUGCAUGGAGGGAUGUGUGACGGACGGCUGCUGUGUCCUAGCCAGACCCUGCACCAUUGCAACUUGAAUUUUAUAAACCACUGUGUACACAUUAGAUGCAAGUACAGAAGCUCCUUAACUAACAGCAGGGCUAUGGCUCCAUAUACCCACCAAGAGCCUGGAACUGGAAAUGGAAACUGUAUCUAAGGUCACAAACCUUCCACACAUGCAAGUUCCCCUGGACCACACACGGCAGAGGACCUGAUGCUUUUCCUCCGGUUUGUGCGGCUCACACCACGAAGGAGUCACAUACUGCUUACACCCAGGCCAGGAAAAGAGCAGAGGCUGGAAUUUAAAAAUGAUUUCUUCUGCAUGUGUAUCAUCUAUGUAAAAAAAAGUAAGUCUAACCUUCAUAAGUUGGGGAUGAUCUGAACGCAAAUUCCCAAUAAAUAUGGAUUUUCCUUGCAACCUGUAAAAGCAGCCUGGUAGACGAAGCAAACGUUUAGUUUUAGGAGGCCUGAAAAUAGAAUGUCUUGUGCCACUAGCAUCUUUUUCCAGCACCCCUGAUGAUUAAUAAUAAAUUAA